GAAAUAAUCACUCGUGCCAUUCU
rnacentral:siRNA from 1 species